ACGACGGAAGUCACAGCUACUACAGCAGCUACUUCCACAGAAGCACCAAGUACAACUGCAACAACAGAAACAUCUACAAGUGCUGCGACGACCACGUCAGAAAUGACCACAACUACUCCAGUGGCUGAAACGACAGCAGUCACAUCUACGACAGCAGCGACUUCCACAGGAGUUCCAACUACAACAGCUGCAACAGAAACAUCAACAAGUGCUGCAACGACGAUGUCUGAAACAACCUCUAGCCACUGCAGUGGCAGGAACAACGACGGCAGUCACAGCUACUACAGCAGCAACUUCCACAGAAGCACCAAGUACAACUGCAACAACAGAAACAUCUACAAGUGCUGCGACGACCACGUCAGAAAUGACCACAACUACUCCAGUGGCUGAAACGACAGCAGUCACAUCUACGACAGCAGCGACUUCCACAGGAGUACCAACUACAACAGCUACAACAGAAACAUCAACAAGUGCUGCAACGACGAUGUCUGAAACAACCUCUACCACUGCAGUGGCAGGAACAACGACGGAAGUCACAGCUACGACAGCAGCUACUUCCACAGAAGCACCAAGUACAACUGCAACAACAGAAACAUCUACAAGUGCUGCGACGACCACGUCAGAAAUAACCACAACAACUCCAGUGGCUGAAACGACAGCAGUCACAGCAACUACAGCAGCAACUUCCCCAGAAGUACCAACUACAACAGCUACAAUAGAAACAUCAACAAGUGCUGCAACAAUGAUGUCUGAAACAACCACAUCCACUCCACUGGCAGAAACAACAGAAGUCACAACUACGACAGCAGCAACUUCAACAGAAGCACCAAGUACAACUGCAACAACAGAAACAUCUACAAGUGCUGUGACGACCACGUCUGAAAUGACCGCAAGUACUCCAGUGGCUGAAACGACAGCAGUCACAACGACGACAGCAGCGACUUCCACAGAAGCACCAAGUACAACUGCAACAACAGAGACAUCAACAAGUGCUGCAACGACGAUGUCUGAAACAAACACAUCCACUCCACUGGCUGAAACGACAGCAGUCACAGCUACGACAGCAGCGACUUCCACAGGAGUACCAACUACAACAGCUACAACAGAAACAUCAACAAGUGCUGCAACGACGAUGUCUGAAACAACCUCUACCACUGCAGUGGCAGGAACAACGACGGAAGUCACAACUACUACAGCAGCUACUUCCACAGAAGCACCAAGUACAACUGCAACAACAGAAACAUCUACAAGUGCUGCGACGACCACGUCAGAAAUGACCACAACUACUCCAGUGGCUGAAACGACAGCAGUCACAGCUACGACAGCAGCGACUUCCACAGGAGUACCAACUACAACAGCUACAACAGAAACAUCAACAAGUGCUGCAACGACGAUGUCUGAAACAACCUCUACCACUGCAGUGGCAGGAACAACGACGGAAGUCACAACUACGACAGCAGCAACUUCCACAGAAGCACCAAGUACAACUGCAACAACAGAAACAUCUACAAGUGCUGCGACGACCACGUCAGAAAUGACCACAACUACUCCAGUGGCUGAAACGACAGCAGUCACAGCUACGACAGCAGCGACUUCCACCGGAGUUCCAACUACAACAGCUACAACAGAAACAUCAACAAGUGCUGCAACGACGAUGUCUGAAACAACCUCUACCACUGCAGUGGCAGGAACAACGACGGAAGUCACAGCUACUACAGCAGCAACUUCCACAGAAGCACCAAGUACAACUGCAACAACAGAAACAUCUACAAGUGCUGCGACGACCACGUCAGAAAUGACCACAACUACUCCAGUGGCUGAAACGACAGCAGUCACAUCUACGACAGCAGCGACUUCCACAGGAGUUACCAACUACAACAGCUACAACAGAAACAUCAACAAGUGCUGCAACGACGAUGUCUGAAACAACCUCUACCACUGCAGUGGCAGGAACAACGACGGCAGUCACAGCUACUACAGCAGCAACUUCCACAGAAGCACCAAGUACAACUGCAACAACAGAAACAUCUACAAGUGCUGCGACGACCACGUCAGAAAUGACCACAACUACUCCAGUGGCUGAAACGACAGCAGUCACAUCUACGACAGCAGCGACUUCCACAGGAGUACCAACUACAACAGCUACAACAGAAACAUCAACAAGUGCUGCAACGACGAUGUCUGAAACAACCUCUACCACUGCAGUGGCAGGAACAACGACAGAAGUCACAACUACGACAGCAGCUACUUCCACAGAAGCACCAAGUACAACUGCAACAACAGAAACAUCUACAAGUGCUGCGACGACCACGUCAGAAAUGACCACAACUACUCCAGUGGCUGAAACGACAGCAGUCACAGCUACGACAGCAGCGACUUCCACAGGAGUACCAACUACA
ensembl:lncRNA